rnacentral:lncRNA from 1 species
AGAGAGAAAUGUUCAACCAAAACAUUUGUUGGAUGAGUAAAAAAAGAAACAUGAUCCUUUCCCUCCUGAAGCUUACAGUCUAUCAUGGAAUGCAGACAAGUCAACAGAUCUUUAUCUUUCAUUAAUAAUCGAUAUAGAAAAUAUAAACAUAAGGUGCCAUGGAAGAAUAUCUUCAAUCAAAUCCAGCAAAAUACCUGUUCUCUACGCUAGGUGCACAGGUGUCUUGACUCAUUGCUGCCACACAUUGGCCACUCUCAUCGAAUUCAGAGGACUCAUGGAAACCACACACCCACUAGCUGUUCCCUCAGAAGCCCCUGAAUUACCAACAAAAAGCUGGUUCGUCUCGGCUACUGAGAAAUAAUUUGUCAUGUUUCAUCCCCUAAAUGAAAGAUGCCAGACUGAAUGCCCGUCUGAGAAAGGGACAGAGCAUGAGAUCUAACAAAGAACCUCAGCACUCAAAAAGUUUACCACUAAAAUGGAGUGACAAGGAAAGCAGGGGAAGAAAAAUCACUACUGGAAGUACUGCUACUAUCACCACUGCUCCUGGGAGGAAUCACCGCAGCAGCUGUUCAUCAAGUGCUUCCUGCAGCCAAUCACUAGGCUAAAAGCACCUGACAUGCCACAUCACAGCAGCUUGCUAACAAUAGCUGCUGUGAUUCUCACUUAACAAUAAAAGUGUGGCUCAGCGAGGCCAAGGAGCUUUUUCAAAAUCUUGUCACUAAUAAAUCUCAGAGUCCAGGCUUGAACCCAUGUCAACCUGACCCUAACGCCUUGGUCUUCACCUGAGUGCUUGCUAUGUGCCAGGCAUUGUCAACAGUACUUUAUAUUAAUUGUGUCACUUAAUUGUUAAACAGCCCUAUCAGUUCUCCAUCAAUAUUCCCUGAAGGGAAUGGGGCCUUGGAAAGAUUAGUGAACUGGACCCCUGACAUGAUCUCUUCCUUCCAAUACUUACAAUAAACUACUGUUUAGUAUGGAGAAGAAAGACUAGUGGAUAUUGAAGAACUGGCAGAAUAAACACUUGCAUAGAUGGAAGAUGUACAGAGGAUGUAUGCGAUACAGGACUUUAAAGAAUGCUGACAUCUUUGUGGCUGAAAUUAAUUGGAAAUUUUAAAGUAUUCAUUUCAUUUACCUCUGAUUCUAAAAAAUCCGUCCUGGAAUUUGGCACAUGUAUGGGAUAUGGAUAGAAAAUAAGAGCAAAGAGGAAUUCAAGAUAAUGAGGCAAUAUAAACAAAAGUUGAAAAGAGAAAAUGAGCAUGCAGUGCCUAGAGAUGCCAAGGAAUCCAGAUCACUGAGGUCGGAUAGAUGUGUCUUUCCAGAAUUUGAUGAGGUUAACCAGGUAGAGCCAGAUGGUAGAGAUCCUUGAAUACCAGGCAAGGGAGUUCAUCUCUCCACCUGUAAGCAUGAAGGAGCCACGGGAGAUUUUGCAAAGGGAAUGACCAAAACGAAAAUGGCAUUUAGGAAAUGAGUUUGCCAGAAGUACCUGGGAGAAAUGGGGACUAGGCACUGAGAAUGUAAUUCAUAGCACAGCAGAACAGAUACUAAAAGAUCGUUCUGGAAGCAGAAGGGCUGGUUUCCAGCUUUUCUGAGGUUGUUUCACUGUGGGUAACUGCUAAGGCCUUCACCCUUGAUGCCAGAGGUGCUGAAACACAUUGCCACACGGCGAAAGAAGUGCCCUAUUGGCCCAAACACAUUGAAUAAACAUCUACCUCAAACCUU